rnacentral:rRNA from 1 species
CAUCCCUACGGGAGGCAGCAGUGGGGAAUAUUGCACAAUGGGGGAAACCCUGAUGCAGCGACGCCGCGUGAGCGAUGAAGUAUUUCGGUAUGUAAAGCUCUAUCAGCAGGGAAGAAAAUGACGGUACCUGACUAAGAAGCCCCGGCUAACUACGUGCCAGCAGCCGCGGUAAUACGUAGGGGGCAAGCGUUAUCCGGAUUUACUGGGUGUAAAGGGAGCGUAGACGGUCCUGCAAGCGAGAUGUGAAAGCCCGGGGCUCACCGCCGGGACGGCAUUUGG